AUGGGCUGCUCGUCUUCUCUGCCAGCAAACAGUACUGGAGGCUUGGGCAAUAUCAACAACGAGAACUCUGCAACUGACUCAAAGAAUUUGAAAGUGAAGUUGGUUUUACUGGGGGAUUCUGGUGUUGGGAAAAGCUGCAUUGUUCUUCGCUUUGUCCGUGGUCGGUUUGAUCCCACAUCAAAGGUAACUAUUGGUGCAUCAUUUCUGUCACAAACAUUGGCAUUGGAGGACUCCACAACAGUGAAGUUUGAAAUAUGGGACACUGCUGGCCAGGAGAGGUAUGCUGCAUUAGCACCUCUGUACUACAGGGGAGCUGGUGCUGCAAUCGUUGUCUAUGACAUAACAAGUGCAGAAUCAUUCAACAAAGCACAAUAUUGGGUGAAGGAACUUCAGAGACACGGUAGCCAGGAUAUGAUCAUGGCUUUGGUUGGAAAUAAGGCUGACCUACAUGAAAAACGCACUGUGUCUUCUCAGGAAGCACAGGAGCACGCGGACAUGAACAAUAUGUUUUUGGUCGAGACAUCGGCGAAAACGGCUGAUAAUAUAAAACAACUAUUCGAGGAAAUUGCCAAGAGGCUGCCGAGGCCUACACCGCUGUCCUGA
rnacentral:rRNA from 1 species